UGGGGAAUUUUGGACAAUGGGCGAAAGCCUGAUCCAGCAAUGCCGCGUGUGUGAAGAAGGCCUUCGGGUUGUAAAGCACUUUUGUCCGGAAAGAAAUGGCUCUGGUUAAUACCUGGGGUCGAUGACGGUACCGGAAGAAUAAGGACCGGCUAACUACGUGCCAGCAGCCGCGGUAAUACGUAGGGUCCAAGCGUUAAUCGGAAUUACUGGGCGUAAAGCGUGCGCAGGCGGUUGUGCAAGACCGAUGUGAAAUCCCCGAGCUUAACUUGGGAAUUGCAUUGGUGACUGCACGGCUAGAGUGUGUCAGAGGGGGGUAGAAUUCCACGUGUAGCAGUGAAAUGCGUAGAGAUGUGGAGGAAUACCGAUGGCGAAGGCAGCCCCCUGGGAUAGCACUGACGCUCAUGCACGAAAGCGUGGGGAGCAAACAGGAUUAGAUACCCUGGUAGUCCACGCCCUAAACGAUGUCAACUAGUUGUUGGGGAUUCAUUUCCUUAGUAACGUAGCUAACGCGUGAAGUUG
rnacentral:rRNA from 1 species